rnacentral:rRNA from 1 species
UACGAAGGGGGCUAGCGUUGCUCGGAUUUACUGGGCGUAAAGAGCGCGCAGGCGGUCGUUCAAGUCGCGUGUGAAAGCCCCCGGCUCAACUGGGGAGGGUCACUCGAUACUGAUCGACUCGAAGGCAGGAGAGGGAAGUGGAAUUCCCGGUGUAGUGGUGAAAUGCGUAGAUAUCGGGAGGAACACCAGUGGCGAAGGCGACUUCCUGGCCUGUUCUUGACGCUGAGGCGCGAAAGCUAGGGGAGCAAACGGG